rnacentral:rRNA from 1 species
UGGGGGAUAUUGCACAAUGGGCGAAAGCCUGAUGCAGCGACGCCGCGUGGGGGAUGAAGGCCUUCGGGUUGUAAACUUCUUUUGCUCUGAACAAGGCAUGCCUUUGGGGUGUGUUGAGUGUAGGGGUUGAUUAGCGCCGGCUAACUACGUGCCAGCAGCCGCGGUAAUACGUAGGGCGCGAGCGUUGUCCGGAAUUAUUGGGCGUAAAGGGCUUGUAGGUGGCUGGUUGCGUCUGUCGUGAAAGCUCAUGGCUUAACUGUGGGUUUGCGGUGGGUACGGGCUGGCUUGAGUGCAGUAGGGGAGGCUGGAAUUCCUGGUGGAGCGGUGGAAUGCGCAGAUAUCAGGAGGAAUACCGGUGGCGAAGGCGGGGCUCUGGGCUGUUACUGACGCUGAGGAGCGAAAGCGUGGGGAGCGAACAGG